GCGCCCAUAGCUCAACUGGAUAGAGUACUUGACUACGAAUCAAGCGGUUAGAGGUUCGACUCCUCUUGGGCGCAC
rnacentral:tRNA from 7 species